rnacentral:lncRNA from 1 species
UUUAACAAAUCAUUAAAUUCUUUAUCUUUCCAUUUAAAAAGAAAAUUUAAUUAUUUAACGAUGAAAAAUACUUUGCGCUCUUCUCUCGGUUGAAUUGAAUGACUUCUUCCCAUUUCACCUGGGUUCCAAACGUGGCCCUGACUUGUCAUUUCCUGAUGAUUUUAUUUCAUUCUUCUGCUUCUGGCCUUCGGGAAUAGCUAGCUUUGUACUAAUAAACUAGUCAUUUCCCCUUAGCCUAUUAUUAUUCUAAAAUACUAAUAAACUAGGGUUCCAAUAAAAAAAAAUCGCUUAUUUACUAAUUAAUACAAUAUUGAUUCUUACUUACGCUAAGGUUUCGAGAUCAAACUACAUAUGAAACAUGUUACCAGAGCCUCUCCAAAUUUUCAAACCAAUUCCUUGUAAUAUAUAUAUAUAUAUAUACACACACACACAAAAUUCCUCCAUCUAAAAAUUCUUCAACCAUCUACUGAAGACCAGCCAUUGAGGAGUCUUGUGGUGGUUGCAACUCUCAAUGAGUUUGGCCGAAGCUGCAAUGGCAGUAAUGGUUGUGAUGAAAAAAAAAUCAUUUAAGUUUAGUUAAGUUUUCAUUCAGGUCCCCACUAAACUACACUCUGGCCCCCAAUAUAUUUACACUUUCCUCACAUCCAAAAUUUUAAAAUACAAAUUUAAAGAAUUGGGCUUUCCAAACUUGAAUAUAGCCCAUAAAUAUUAACAUUAAUUUAACUUUUAAUGGUCCACAAACUCAAUAAAAUUUGUAAAGAUAUAUCGAAGUCUGAUAAAUCUUUUAAAUUUAUAUAUUUAUUAUUUUUUAAAAUUGAUUUCAUAGUGUUAUUGAAUAAACCCUAAACCAAAGAAUAUGCUGUCUACACACCUGCUUUAUUGAAAAAAUAUAUAUAGAUUUUUAUAUUUUAUCAUAUCGAAAAACAAUUUGGGAGAAAAAAGGAAAAGCAAAUGAAAACAAAUCAUAUGUGUGCUGCUUAACCAAUGUGCUUGUCUUAUCAUCUUUAGGUUUGCAGCGUGUGCGAGGACAUGAUUGAAGGGUGGCUAUUCCUAUUAGGGAGAUCCAAAUGUAAGACAUUAAUUUAUUUUCUAAUUGAAAAUUAAAAAAGAGAAUCGAUUGAAGCCAGCUCAAAAACACACGAAGACAGAUAUGUUUCCUAAAUACAUGAACACAUGGAAACUUGUAAUUUAAAUGGCUAACAAAAAGCAUAUCUUGUCUCUUCCCUGUGGAAUAUUUUAGUCAAAUUCAUAAAUUAUCGAUAAUAAUUAUAUUUCUAGCAAUCGGAUUCUUCUUGAUGAACUAAGAACUUUAUCCGCAAAAAUAAAUAAAUAAUCUACACAUAAGUUGGAGAACUGACAGAUUCUAAUACUUUUAUCUUUUUUUUUUCUUAAUUUUAUUGAUAAUCAACAUAAUCUAAUCCAACUAGAACUAAUUAACAUAGUAUUUAUCAUUACCUAAACUUUCGAGUCAAACAAAGAAAUACAAAAGCCUAUCAUAAUUUCAAACCAAUUGCACGUAGGAACGAGUGAGAAUUGAUUUAUUUUAUUAGUGUUAAUGAAAAAGUGGAGAAUUUUUGGGUGUGAUGGUAAGCAUGCCUUAUUUAUAAGAUUGAGACCUUGCAACAACAAUCUAUGUGAAGGCAACAUAAACUACUAGUGAUUUGUGGACUUUGUGUCGUUCCAUCUUCAAUAAUUGUUUAUGCUUUAAUCGGAAAAGUAUUUUGAGCUACCUAGUUAGGCCAAACAAUGAGUUGUAUGUGUUAGACAUUAAUGUCGGUUAAUUGAUGCAUUUAAACACAUGAUUUCUCUUCUUCUUUUCCUUUUUUCCCACUCUUCAGUAUAAAAAAACACAUCUUUAAAAAAAAAAAGUUAAAAAAUAAAACUCACAACGCACAAGCGCACAUCUCCGAUUAGCCUUGAUCCGAAUAAAAUUCAAUCUCUUAAAGAUGAAUUUACAUAAAUGGUGAUCUUUUCUAUACUAAUUUUUUUAUAACCUUCCGUCAUACGUACAUUUUUACAUAGUACAGUCGAGAUUUAAUUAUCUAUAUAUUCUUAUCUAAUUACUACCACUCAUACCUGUUAAAAAAUUUAUUAACAUAAUUUUAUUUUAAAAUUAGUUUAAUUUAAUUUUUCUAAAUAAAUUAUGACAUAAUACAAAUAAUUUCUUAAUUAAUAUAUCAUAAUUUUUAAUUUUUAUUUGAACAACAAAAAAUAGAGUUGCCGCCGCUGCCGCCAUUGGAGCCGCCGUCCACCACCAUACCAUGUCAUUUCAACUCUAGAAUUAUAUGAAAAUUAUCAGAACCAGACGAUCUAUAUAUUGAAACAACUUAUUUGGCCGAAAUACUUGAUGUUCGUCCGGAUCUGAGAUAGUGAGAAAGUUUUCCAAUUGCUUUUAACUGGAUUUGAGGAAGAUGACUUCAUUUUUUUCACUUUUAUGAUGGUAUAAUGACGUUGAUCGUCAGCAGGCGACUUCAACGGUACGGGAGGUGACGUCCCACGCGUGAGUGUUGGCGGCGGAGGCGGCGGUCCGGCAGCGGCAAUGAUGGCGGUUCGGCGACUAUUAAAUUCGUAUAUCUAUUUUUUUUUAAUUUAAUGAAAUAAAUAGAGUGAUUUUAUUAAAUUGUUUAAAUCAUUGCUUUAACUUUUAUUAAUAUAAAAUUAAUUAUUUACAAUAUUAAAUUGAUAAAAUAAAAUUGUAAAUAAUAAUUAUUUGAUAAUAUUAAAUAAGUUAAUAAAAGAUUGAAUGGGUAAUUUUGGAUGUUUUGACUUUCAAUAUGAGAGGAAUUCAAAUUCAUCACUUUUAAUAUGGAAUCUAAAUUGCACAUUAUGAUGUAUAUUAAAUUUUAAUGAAAAUUAAAUUCUUAUAAAUUAUGGUAAAUCAAAUAAAGAAAAUAAAAAAGAAAUUUAAAUUACUUUCCUUUCUCCUUUCCUCUCCUUCCAACCAAACACCACCGAAAAUCUUGAGAUAAAAAGGAAAAUUUGAGGAGUAAUGGUAUUGAGCUCAAGUUGAGAAUGUGCUAUAACUAAUAAAUUUCUACGUGGAAUUUCGGAUAUUCGAAUGGAAUAGAUAUUUAAACCAACGAUGCUCCUAUGGUUGCUAGAAGGGAAAACUUUUGGUGAAACAAAAAAUACAAGGGUAAAAAAAAGGAUAAAUGAAUGUGUGAAUUAUAAAAAGAAUAAAUAUAAAAAUUUAUCGAAACAUUUAUUUUGUUUUCAAUUUGAAUAGGAUAGCUUUGAAUUUAUGUAGUAAUUGUAAGGAUGUUUAUGAAAUUGUAUUAAAAAGAUAAAAUUUAUUACUAAAAUCAAAUUUUAAAAAACUUUUCUCACUGUAUUUUUCAAAACUAUGAUGGGGCUGAUUUCAUAAGUUUUUUUUAUACUAAAAUUAACUUUUAAGUAAUUAUUUUUAAAAAUUCAAAAGUAACGUCAAACCGUCAUUUUUUAAUAUUAAUUUGUAGUAUUCACAUUAACUUUUUGACUAUAGUGUUUCGGUUUCUUUUAAGUCUACUCAUCCAUAGAGAACAAAAAGAAAAAAAAUGAAAAUGAUAAGUAAGAACCCCAUCGGAGCUUCGAAGGCUCUGUUUAUAUUUACAAGGUAUAUUGAGUUCUCGUAACGUUACAUGCUUUAGAACCAAUUUUUUAUUUUUUUUUUCUUGGCACUAUGCUUUAGCACCAAUUUAGUAAGUCUUUUAUGUUAUUUUAAUUUUUCAAUUUUAGUUGAAUUUGUCUAAAUUGUUUGAGUAGCAUUUUGAUUAGUCUCAUCUCUUGUACAAUAUAGAUAUAUAGAGAUACCAGUUUACAUAAACUCUCAAUAGAAUCAUUUCAUAAUUAAUUCUUAAAUAAUGACAGAAUAAAAAAUUAUUUAUAUAAAUUAAUAUAACGUAAAAAUUUUGAAUAAAAAAUUGAAUUAAUAGAAAUAGUUAUAAAAAUAAUGUGGUAUUUAUUCAAUUAAUACUUAUAUGCCACAUAUAAGUUUAUAAAAAAAAAUUGAUGGUUGUUUAUCCAUUAUUUUAGAUUUAAAAAAAAAAAAAAAAAACUCAUCUAAAGUACUGAUUACUUAGAAAUAUAUUUAAAAAAAAAAGGGGGAAACAAACAAAAGGUAAGCAAAAGAAAUCACGGGAGUAAAAGGUGGCCUACAUGAGGAAAUUGCGAGGAAAGAACAAGUGGCCCCAUUUCAGUCAUCUUAUCUCAUUAGCCUUUUGGACCAUAUUGUCAGGCAGCUUAUGGCUCAUUAAUUUCUUCGGAGCUUCGAAGACUUUUAAAUAAACAAAUAUAUAUAUAUAUA